GCAAUGUCUGGAAAUGUGUAACUGCACUCUGGUACUGCAGAGGCUCAAUGAACCAUUCUGUGCAUACAUAUGGGAGGUGACAGAUCAUGGGAGCAAAAGCAACCACCAAACAAGUCAGCAGGAAGAGAUGACACAGUGAACUUCAGGAAAGGUGUGUGCAAACCUGCACCCUCUGAGGGAAGAAGAAAAUGCUGCUAUUCUGUUACAUAUCCAGAGGGACAGCUCAGGGGCAACAUUUCAGAAAAACUCAGCUGGGGGGACUGCUGGCCUUGGAGAGUACUUGCUAAGGAAAGGAAAGGAAAGGAAAGGAAAGGAAAGAUCAUAGGAAACCAGCAGAGAACUGUGGACCCAAAAUCUCCAGGACAUGUGAGAAAUGCAAGCCUAUAUAUGAAGAGUUUGUCAGAAACUGAGCUUUGCAGUGAAAUCUUCAGAUUCCUCCAAUGUCUAGGCAUAAUGAGAAGCAACUUGAAAGUGCAGUUACGGUGUAAAAAUGGCACCUUCUUACUCAACAAUUCUGUUCCUUGGCAUAUCAAUCAAUCCAUCAAUCAAUGACUCUAACCCAUCUGCUCCCUGAAUAUAUUCUUUCUUAUGUGCCAAUCAGCAGGGUAUUUAGGUACCAUUCUGUGACAUUUAUGUAAUAACAAUAAGUUUUGACCUCCUGUUAGCAUUGGAAAGCCAAAAACAUAUGGGAGAAUGAGUAUUUACAUAUAAUAUGCACCAGGUCUGCAGCUGUUAAAAAUUGGUAUAGUUCCAAUGAAAUUGUAAGAGAUAUGCCAAUUUACACCAACUAAGGAGCUGGCCUUAUAAGCCUUCUCAUACAAAUGCAUGUGUUUGUGUAUAUAAAAAUAUAACUGUCUAGCAAAAAGCUGCAGAAAAGACAUUUAAUUAACCUCAUGGAGUACAUCAAAAGAAAAGCAGUAAACAUAUUUCUUCUGCUUUUUUUUUUUUGGUUUUACUAUAAAAUAUGCCUAGAACAUUAAACUUUAAUUACUCUUAUUCAAAUAUGUACUUAUGCACACAGUGGAUCAUUUGUGUUUGUUCUCCAAAAUAUGUAAUUAAUUGUGUGCUCAAACAAAAUCACAAACUCCUUUAAGGAAAUAAUAAUUCUGUCUCUAUCCUCCAAGUCCUUGUGAGUCCCUUCAACUUCCAUUGGCUUUAAUGGGGGCUGCAGAUGGCCAGCACCCCCAGAAGCUGCUCAGCGCCUUGCAGGAUUGAGCCCAAGAUGACAAACUAAUGUAGCUUUUAAGAUGUAUCACAGAUAGACUAUAAAGACCAAUGUGUGUGAUAAAAUCCUAAAAUAAAUGUCUGGCAGAGAUAAA